AGUGAACGCUGGCGGUAGGCCUAACACAUGCAAGUCGAACGGCAGCACAGUAAGAGCUUGCUCUUACGGGUGGCGAGUGGCGGACGGGUGAGGAAUACAUCGGAAUCUACUUUUUCGUGGGGGAUAACGUAGGGAAACUUACGCUAAUACCGCAUACGACCUACGGGUGAAAGCAGGGGAUCUUCGGACCUUGCGCGAUUGAAUGAGCCGAUGUCGGAUUAGCUAGUUGGCGGGGUAAAGGCCCACCAAGGCGACGAUCCGUAGCUGGUCUGAGAGGAUGAACAGCCACACUGGAACUGAGACACGGUCCAGACUCCUACGGGAGGCCGCAGUGGGGAAUAUUGGACAAUGGGCGCAAACCUGAUCCAGCCAUACCGCGUGGGUGAAGAAGGCCUUCGGGUUGUAAAGCCCUUUUGUUGGGAAAGAAAAGCAGCAGGUUAAUACCCCGCUGUUCUGACGGUACCCAAAGAAUAAGCACCGGCUAACUUCGUG
rnacentral:rRNA from 1 species